UGGUGCCGUGACCUGGAUCAGAGACGGCCAAGCGACUCCUUGAGCGGGAUCAUCCAGAGGACCAGUAAAAGGACCGAUUCCAGCCGGAUCGGGAAGGACCAGCUCCAGAAAAAGUUAGGACUGGCCUGCCUCUGCCAACUCCCGCGUACGGAGCCCUUGACCUCCUCUGAUUUUUCCUGAAAGUCGAGUGAACUGGGAACUUCCAGACGGGAGCAAAAAUUCUUGGUGAAUAGACAGAGGGAGUCCAACCGGGGAAAACAAAAGAAGCCAGGCAGUGUUACUUCCACAGUUUAUUUGGCACCCGAGCUGUUCCACUUACUGUCGGAGAACCCAAGUGAAUUGCAGACAGGAAUAAGAUCAGUGACCAGUGAGCUCAACUGCUUUACCGUCCGGGAGAGGUACUAAGAACGUAACGAUAAGAGCGCCUCUUGGAAUGAGAUGGAGUCCUAAGUAGACUCGUAAUUAGAAGAGAGAGGUGGAAGUUUAGUAAAAGGGGAAAGUACCUCCCGGUCGGGGAUUCGCUAAAGAAAGAAAUUGAAAAAACAGGGUGUGAAUGAGGAGCAUCUGUUCGGAGGAUUGUUUUCGGGAAACGUACCAUGGAGAAAAAAAAAAAAGCGGCUCUCUAAGACGCUACAUAGAACAGAAAACAGGGUUAGAUUUAAAAAAUAA